CCUACGGGUGGCAGCAGUGAGGAAUAUUGGUCAAUGGCCGAGAGGCUGAACCAGCCAAGCCGCGUGAGGGAUGACGGCCCUACGGGUUGUAAACCUCUUUUGCCGGGGAGCAAAUACCGGGACGCGUCCCGCCUCGAGAGUACCCGGAGAAAAAGCAUCGGCUAACUCCGUGCCAGCAGCCGCGGUAAUACGGAGGAUGCGAGCGUUAUCCGGAUUUAUUGGGUUUAAAGGGUGCGCAGGCGGAGAGGUAAGUCAGCGGUAAAAUUGAGGGGCUCAACCUCUUCCCGCCGUUGACACUGCGUGUCUUGAGUGGGCGAGAAGUACGCGGAAUGCGUGGUGUAGCGGUGAAAUGCAUAGAUAUCACGCAGAACUCCGAUUGCGAAGGCAGCGUACCGGCGCCAAACUGACGCUCAUGCACGAAAGCGUGGGUAUCGAACAGGAUUAGAUACCCGUGUAGUC
rnacentral:rRNA from 1 species